rnacentral:snRNA from 1 species
UGCGUUCAGUGUCCUGACAUCCGUUAACAAACUCAUCUCUUGCCUUUUACCAGAAAUGACUGUGGCGUGACCCAAAUAAAUCCCUUCCAUAAUCUUUGGACCAUAUUGU